rnacentral:rRNA from 1 species
GACGAACGCUGGUGGCGUGCUUAACACAUGCAAGUCGAACGGGAUUUCGUAAACAGAAGCCUCGGUGGAAGAUUACUAAUGAGAGUGGCGAACGGGUGAGUAACGCGUGAGCAACCUGCCUAUGACAGUGGGAUAGCCUCGGGAAACCGGGAUUAAUACCGCAUAACAUCGUAGAAACACAUGUUUUAACGGUCAAAGAUUUAUCGGUCAUAGAUGGGCUCGCGUCUGAUUAGCUAGUUGGUGAGAUAACAGCCCACCAAGGCGACGAUCAGUAGCCGGUCUGAGAGGAUGAACGGCCACAUUGGAACUGAGACACGGUCCAAACUCCUACGGGAGGCAGCAGUGGGGAAUAUUGCACAAUGGGGGAAACCCUGAUGCAGCGACGCCGCGUGAACGAAGAAGGUAUUCGUAUCGUAAAGUUCUGUCCUAUGGGAAGAUAAUGACAGUACCAUAGAAGAAAGCUCCGGCUAAAUACGUG